rnacentral:rRNA from 1 species
CUGACCGGCUAAAAAGUCGAGAAGUGGAUGACGUCAAAUCAUCAUGCCCCUUAUGACCUGGGCUACACACGUGCUACAAUGGCGGUACAAAGGGUCGCGAACCCGCGAGGGGAGCCAAUCCCAAAAAGCCGCUCUCAGUUCGGAUUGCAGGCUGCAACUCGCCUGCAUGAAGCCGGAAUCGCUAGUAAUCGCGGAUCAGCAUGCCGCGGUGAAUACGUUCCCGGGCCUU